UUGUCUGUGGCCGAGUGGAUAAGGCAUGUGCCUUGCUAAGUACAUGGGGUUUCCCCGUGAGAGUUCGAAUCUCUCAGGCGAC
rfam:Picea glauca, whole genome shotgun sequence.